AACAACUUUAAUAAGUUUCAUUGAAGCAUAAGUGUAAUGUGUAUCCAGACAUGUUCUUUAAGUAUGAACAUUCUCAUACAGCAAAAGUUGCUUUUUCUCUGCUUUCAAAAGAAAAAUAAAACUAAAUCUGAUCAUCAUGUGCCUCUUGAACAUGAUCUUCAAUCACAUCCCUUUCUGAGUUGUCAUUGCUUCAUUGAGAGCAUGUGCUAAUUUAUUAUUUAGAAAACAAUAAUUAGUGUUUCUUCUUGAUGUGCCGAAAAUAAAGCGUCCAUUAUUCAUGCAUCUCAUCAUCUGCGCACAUGAUGGAGAUGUAAAAAUGUGACUGCUAAUAAAAUAUGAUACUUUUUAUAUUCAUUAAUACUUAUCAACUUAUUGAUGAUUGAAUUAGAACAAUGUCCUUAUAUUAGGCCAUGAAGAAACUUAAUUUGUCCUGUAACACUAUUUCUAUUUUCUAGCUAUUAGGCGUGUCUUCAAGUAGGGGUGAACAUGGCUGGGUAGAUCCAAUGAACCCGUCCAACCCAAUCUGAUCCAAUAGAAAAAAUGUGGGUUGGAUCGGAUAAUCGGGUUAAUUUGAUGGAUUUUACUACAACCCAACCAAGUUCGGAUCGGAUUUCGGAUUCAGUUCAAAUCCAUCCAACCCAACCCAGAAUCCAUACAUAUAAUAAUAUUUUUUUUUAUAAUUUUACUCAUACUUGGAGUGCUAGUGUUGGAGUGAUGACUUUUUGAAACUUUGAGACUUAAGUAUUUAUAGUUAUUUGUCAUAUUUGAACUUAGAGUAUUUGUUUGUAGUUAUUUGUUACAUGUCUAUAUAUAUUAUUUGGCAUGUUGGAGACAUCUAAGUUCUAAGUGUCAUGGCAUGACAUUUAGUGUUGUUUUUCACUUUUUAGGUAUUAUUUAUGUUAGAUUGUUUCAUGUCAUUUGGUAAUGAAGUUUUAUGUUUUCAUGAUAUUUGGUUAUAUGUCAUUUAUGUGAUAUUAUUUCAUUCUAUUUGAUAUAACUUUUUGUGUCAUUUUCAUGCUAUUUAGUAUUAUAACAUAUAGAGAUGGAAGGAAAACCCAAACCCACGGGGCCCAACCCGAACCCGACCUGAAAUUUCGGGCGAAACCCGAUUUCUUUGGGUUCGGGUUUGGGUUUGGGUUUCACCCAAGUUUUAAAACAUGUUUGGGUUUGAGUGUGGGAUUGAUUAAACCCGCACCUGCACCCAAACCCAAAUCCGAAGUCUAAUUAUCAGCCCUUAUAUAGUUACUAAGUAGGGUAUUCUUUAAAGUUACUAAGUAGACUUAUGUUCAUGAACUAUAUUUUUUCCUUUGUAUUGGAAUGAUGAUGAGGUUUAAUCAGCUUAUAUUCAUGUUGUUCUCUUAUGCACAUGUUGUUUCCAGAUCGAUUUUUUUGGUUUUUUGUCGGUUCAGUGCUCACAUUGGGUUUUGGGUUUGGGUUUGGGUAACCCGAAACCCAGGGGUUUAGGUUUGGGUUUAACUUUUGCACCCAUAUUAAAUUUGGGUUUGAGUUUGGGUUUGAGUGUUAAGUUUGGGUUUGGGUGUGGGAAUGGUCAAACCCGCACCCACGGGGCCCAUUGCCAACCCUAAUAACAUAUUUAGUAUUUUUAUAACUUUUUCUGAAUUUAUAAUAAUAUUUGCAAGAUUUUUUAAUAUUUCAGAUAUAUUAUUAUUUUAAUAUAGUGAUCCAAUCAAUCCAUUCAACCCAAUCCGAACUUCGUGGUUGGUUCGGAUCGGGUCCGAAGAAGAAAUUCGUGAAAUCCAACCCAACCCAACCCAAAUAAUUUUGAUCUGUUCGAAUUUAUUUUAACCAAAAUUCAUCCAACACAACCUAUGUGCACCCCUAUCUUCAACUCAGACAAAAUGAGCUGAAAGUUAUUGGAAUCUUAAGUUGUUUUGACUAAGAGAAAAAGGAAAGAAAGAAAAGUUGAGUUAAUCUCCUGCCAGUUUGGUAAUGGUGUGAGUGAUACAAUAUCAUAUUUAACUUAGUGAAAGGAGAACAAUUAAGUGGAUCCUGAAUUAGAUGAGAUAUAAUAUAUGGUAAUAAUAAUAAAAAAAAAAUAGAGUGAUCAAUUGUCUCAUUGAAAUUUGAGUUUGCUCUGUACUUGAUGAGAGAAAGCUUUUAUAUGGAUCUUUCAUCAUUUUUUCCUCCCUUCUUUUUUUCGCCCCAUGACCAAGAGAAGAUUUCCUUAUCAAAAUUUCUCCCGUUUUCCCCUCACUGUAUUUGGAUGGGCAACGACAUAGUAAAAAAGGUAAUAAGAAAAUGCAUAUUGUUUGGAUGGAUAGUCAAUAACAUAAAUUGACAAGGUUUCCUUUUUUUGGCACAAGAGUUUAGAUCAAGAGAUCAUCUCAUCAUCUUAAAACAAAGGGGAAAAAAAAAGAGAUCAUCUCAUCGACACUUCCAAAAUAAGGAUAUAUCAAAUCCUAACAAGAGCAAUGCCACAUAGACUUUUUUUUUUUUUUUUUGUCUAAAUUGACGGACUAAAUAAUAGAGUUUAAUUUCUAUGCACCGACAGUGUAAAGUUUUUUUACACCGUCAACCAAUCAGAUUUCAAGGAUGUGAGAAAAUCUCUCAUUUUAUUUAAUUUCAUUGAUUGACGUGGCACAUCCUCAAAAUCUGAUUGGUUGACGGUGUAAAAAAAACUUUACUCCAUUGGUGCAUCAAACUUUUUCUCUAAAUAAUAUGUAAAUGCCUACUAUAGGGAUAAAUAUCAAUAAUGCCACAGUGUCAAUGAGAUUUUUGAAGAUUAAAACUGAUGUGAGAAUAAUAGGUGAGCUCGUAACUCGAUAAAAAUACUUUCAAAAUGUUUUAUGAUGUUAUAUAUAAAGACUAUUUUCAGCCAAACAAAAAAAAUUAGGGACUAAGAACUACUAUGAAAUUAUUUUAUAAGGACCAUUUUGAUAAUGAUGUAUAAGUCAGGAAUAAAAAAACAUAUUUAACUCAAACAACUAAUUUAAACUUCAACGUGAUAUAUUUGCACCAUGUAAAAAAAACAAACUUAAACGUGAAAAGAUUUGGUUAAGAUUCGAAUUGAAAAGAUUAAGAUAAAAUUAAAAGAUUAAAUAGAUAAGCCGUGUAAUAUAUAAACGUGAUUGUGUAUGAAGAUAAGUGGUACGGGUGAAAUAAUUUUGGUUUAGUUGAAAAAAUUCUUAGCUUUUCUUUGUCAAUAUGACCGAGUUCAAGCAAUUUGAUAUGGUUUUGGAGUGAAAAUUUCUUGAGCAAAAUCUACCUGAAUCCAUCUACGUUCGGGUCUACGAGCAACGCAUUAAUAUGAUGAGGGCGGCAAUUAUAGGUGUCGUCGGCACGCCGUACCAUGACGGCCUCUUCUUCUUCAAUAUCACGUUCCCCUCUGAUUAUCCUAAAAGCCCGCCAGAGCUCCAUUUCUUCUCGUUCGGGCUCCGACUUGGUCCGCACCUAUAUGAAAAUGGCAAGGUGUGUUUGAGCCUCCUCAACACUCUUAACGACCCAUUAAUGCUAGUGAGGAAGUGCAAGAAGUUGAACACAUUCGUGUCCACAUGUCUGCAGAUCCUGCUCUCCCUUCAAGCAACCAUUCUCGGCCAAAAGCCCUACUCCAGCUUUCCCUUCGCACGUGGCCUCUUUGAGGACAUGUACCGCCUCACGUGUAAGCUUACUCUGCACCACAUUCAGAGUCCUCUGAAAAACUUCGACACCUGCGUCAAGGGCCACUUCCGCUAUCGCGCGCCUGUGAUUCUCACGCGUGCAUAGCAUACGCGACUAGGCGUGUGGGCAUCAGGUACUACGACGUCCGUGUUGGCGAGUCGUGUUCUCCUCCGGGUAAGGGUGUUUCGGUUUCACGGAGUUACAAGAGGUGGGCACAUGAGAUUUACCCUCUAAUGAUUAAUGCGUUUGAAUUGUGUGGUGCUUCUUUGGAUAUUUCUGUCCGCACCUUAGUUUUGACCAAGGUGAGUACAAUCUUGACCAAAGCCAUAGAGAUAAUAAAAAGGCUUUAACAUGAAGAAGAAAAAGAAUUAAAGAGAGAGAAAAAAAGAUUAGUAGGGUUGAUUUGAGAGACCAUAAAUAAUUGCUUGCUUGGUGGUGCAUGAGCCUUUGACUGUUAUUAUUGGUUUUUUAGUUUUUUUAUGGCUGCAUUUGAAAUAAGGUACAUAGCUUAGGGUCAUUAUUUCUUCACAGCUCUCGAUCCCAGAAUAAGAUAAGUUGAAAGGGGAACAAUAUUUUGCAUAUGUACUCAGAUCAAUUUGUAAUCUCUUAAUCUUUUUUUAUUAUUAUUGCGUUCUUCUUCAUUGAGUCAUCCUUUAUCCCUUUAAUUCAAUGUCACAAGAAGAACGCAAUAAUAAAAUAUAUAUAUAAGACUUGAUCCUACCCGCCAACCUGUUCCGGUCCAAGCCUUUAGGAUCAAGUUGAACUCGGCCCGAUCAUUAAAAAAUAUCGGGUUCGGGUUGAUCAUUGAGUUAUCCAACUUCUGGUCGGGCCGGGUUCUGAUUGACACUCAAGCCACCCGACCCGUCCCACAUAUAUAUUUUAUAAAAUUUUAAUUUGUUAUAAGGGUCAAAAUGUGAUAGAUGGUGCUCAAAUUUAUCUUACUAUGUGGAUGAGAUGAAAUUUUUUAUCAUCUAUCUUAUGAAUUAAACAAAUGUUGGUCAAAAGAUGGACACUUUCGUGCUCUAAGAAGAGAAAAUCAUGCAUGUGCGUUAUGCACAUGUGAGACAAGUGAAGAGAGAUUAAACAAAAUGAGUGACACGUGCAUAUAGAUCAAACAAAAUGUAAACCUCCAAAGUGCUAUAGAUUAUGCAAGAAUUUGAUCAUUUAAAGUUCUUUCUUCUAAAAAAUAGUUCUCACUUAUAACUCUUUUAGUAUGUUAUUAUCUUAAAAUUUUACAAUUAGUAUCAAAUAGUCUAAGAUUUAUUGUCUCUCGGGCCAACCCAGUCUCAUCCUAUAUAAAUCUGUCCUAAAUUGGACCUGCAUAUUGUCGGGUAGGGGUGUACACUGUACAAGACCCGACAUACCCGCCAACCCGUCCUGGCCCAAAACUCUAAGGCCAGGUUCAACGAUCAUUAAAAGAUAUCGGGUUCGGGUCGAUCAUUGAGUUAUCCGGCUUCGGGUCGGGUUCAGGUUGAUACUCGGUCACCCGGCCCGUCCCACAUAUAUAUUUUAUGAAAUUUUAAUUUGUUAUAUUGAUCAAAAUGUGAUAGAUGGUACUCAAAUUUAUCUAACCAUGUGGAUGAAAUGAAAAUGUUUAACAUAUAUCUUAUGAAUUAAAUAAACGUUGGUCAAAAGAUGGACAUUUUCAUGCUCUAACAAGAGAAAAUCAUGCAUGUGCAUUAUGCACAUGUGAGACAAGUGAAGAGAGAUAAAAUAAAGGGUUAAAUAUGUUUAUGGUCCCUGGCUAUUGAGGACAGUUUGAGUUUUGGCCCCUAUUUUUUUCAAAGUAAAGCAACCAUCCCUCCGAUUACACUUUUCGUAACAAACCACCCUUAACUCCGCCAGUCCUUGCCAAAUGCCACUAGGGUGAGUAACCUUUUUUUUGGUCCACCGGUACUCCAUUAUUUAUAACCAUCAGAUCUUAGCAUCUUGAAAUAUUUUUCAAUUAAAUGGCCAGGAUUUAAUGGAUGAUAAAAGGGCAAAAAUGUAAAUGAGAAACCCAUCUUUCCCAACCAAUCUUCACUGACCCUGACCACCACAGGAAGAACCCAGAAACCAGAAGGCAAGAACGCAUAAACCACCAAGGCAAGAACCCAACACCACCUUCCAGCCACCGUGACCCUAACCGCAGCAGUACGAGGUUCUUCGCCUCCAUCAACCUUGUCAUAUACCCCACCAUAACCUCACUUCCCAACCUCUGUACCAAAGCCAUGUGUCUAAGAAGAGAACCAGGGUUUUCAAACCACAUCUGCAAUAUAGACAUUGUGAGAGAAAGAGAGAUUCAGGAGAAAGACAGAGAUGAGAUCAGAGAGAGCCAAGGUGAAGCAAGUUCUGGGUUGAAGCAAGAUCUGGGUUAGAUCUGUCAGCGCUGAAUUUGUUGUUAGAUUUUGUUUUUGGAGAAAACAUAGUUCUCUGAGCCAAUCGUCGAUUACAUCGUCAACGUCCUCGUUGAUGACGACCUCGAUUUCGGACUCGACAGCGAAGGCGCCUUCGAUGCCAUCGGCGAGCUCCUCGUCGCCGUCGGUUGCGUCCCCGACCGUCGCACCGUUCGUUCCCAAAUCCAUUCACCAUUUUUUCCUUUUUCCUUUCUGUGCAGAAAUGUAACGAUUGAUUUCUGGAUUUGUGAUUCUCAGGCUUGCAGCAAGCUCUCUGAUAAGUUGGGGAUUUAUGAUUCUGAGGUCUUGAAUCUUGAGUUUCUGUUUUGCGAGGUUGAAACUUGAAAUUGAUGCCCAUGAAGCUUAGUUGAUCUUUAUAGAGUAAUGUUGCAAAGUUUGUCCUGUUCAUUUUUUUUGCUGGGUUCUUGCUGCUCUCAAGUGUUAUUUGGAUUGUGGUUUCAUUUAGUAAGAGUUUUGAGAUAACGUUAUGAGUAUUGGUUCCUGCAUAGAGUUGUUAUGAAAUCGACAUAGUGAUAGUGGGUUAAUUUUGAAGAAGAGGGUGAAGAGGGUUGCAAUUCAAUGAUAAGAGUUUUGGGGUUAGAGAAAACAAAGAAUCCAUGAAAGGGUGCUGUUGGAGAUGAUUGAAGUGAGAGGAGAGAGAGUGAGAGGGAGAAGGAGAAAAGGGGAAAAGUCUAAAAGCCCCUGAAUGUAAAGUCUAAAAUGCCCAUGGAGCACCGGUGGACCAAAAAGAAAGUUGCCCCUCAGGUGAUGGCAUUUGGCAAGGACUGGCGGAGUUAAGGGUGGUUUGUUACGAAAAGUGUAAUCGGAGGGAUGAUUGCUUUACUUUGAAAAAAAUAGGGGCCAAACUCAAACUGUCCUCAAUACACAGGGACCAUAAACAUAUUUAACCCUAAAAUAAAAUGAGUGACAUGUACAUUUAGAUCAAAUAAAAUGUAAACCUCUUAAGUGUAAUAGAUUAUGCAAAAAUUGGAUCCUUUCAAGUUCUUUCUUCUAAAAAAUUGUUCUAACUUAUAACUCUUUUAGUAUGUUAUUAUCUUUAAAUUUUACAAUUAGUAUCAAAUAGUCUUAGAUUUAUUGUCUCUCAUGUCAACCCAGUCUCGUCCUACAUAAAGUCGUCCUAAAUUGGACCCCGUAUAUUGUCGGGUUGCUUCGAGUCAUGUGCAUUUAGAUCAAAUAAAAUGUAAGCCUCUUAAGGGCAAUAGAUUAUGCAAGAAUUGGAUCCUUUCAAGUUCUUUCUUCUAAAAAAUUGUUCUAACUUAUAACUCUUUUAGUAUGUCAUUAUCUUUAAAUUUUACAAUUAGUAUCAAAUAGUCUUAGAUUUAUUGUCCUCAGGUCAACCCAGUUUCAUCUUACAUAGAGCCGUCCUAAAUUGGACCCAUAUAUUGUCGGGUUGCUUCAAGUCUAGAGACGGGUUAGGGUCUAUGAAUUGGUCAUGUCAAUGUUUAGGAUCGGGUUAGGAUUAACCAAAAUCAUCCCAACCCAUCCCUUGUACACCCCUAGGCCAGACGGCUCAUCAGGGGCCUACGGCCUAGCCUACCAAGGGUCGGGCCUAGGCCAGACUUAUUUGUUAAAAAGGUCAAGCUUAAGUUUUUUAAAAAGCUUGAUUAGCUAAAAAGGUUAGGCCUAGGCUUACAAAAAAGCCUAUUCGACCUGAUAGACCUGCCUAUUUACCUAUUUUUUUUUAUAAUUUAAUAAAUAUAUUAUAUUAAUAAAUUUAAUUGUAACAAAAAAAUAUUAAUGAAUUUAAUAUCAUAUCUAAAAAGUACAAAAAUACUAAAAAACUAAAAGAGAAAAAAUACUAAGAUGAAAACCUAAAUUAAAAACAUUCUCUCAUAAAAAGAAAUCCUUUUAGUAUUGUUGAGGAUAAGUUUUUUAACUGGAUUCUUCAAGAUUCAAAAUAGAAAUUCAUUGAUAGUUGUGAAGGCUAAUAAGUUUGCUGAUCUAUGACCUUGCGACCUAUUAGACCCAAGGUCUAUUAGUCUCUUUCAGACGUUAUUUUUAAGUUAGUAGGCUUUUGAACAUGCUCGUAGGUCAGACCAUACCUCCUAGAAGGUUAGGCCGAAUCUUAAAAUUUUGCAUAUGAAAGACCACGGGCCAAGGCUUGGGCCGCGAGUUUCGAAUGUAGGUAAGGCCUAGGCCGCGCAAAGCCUAGCCUAGCCCAACCCAUUUUCGGCUGUUCUAAUAUGAUAACAAGGUUUUAAAAAAAAACAUACGAACUAUAAAAACUGGAAAAAUGAGAAAAGGGAUCACAGCUUAUAACAAAAGGACCAAACUGCCAAAACAUUUUUAUUAAGGCUACAUAUACUCACAGAUGGCUUCAAAGAUUUGGGAAAAAAAGAGUAACAGAAAAAGGAAAAAAGACACUAAGGGAUAAAUAGAAGAAAAGAGAAUUCACACACUAAUGAUGUGCCACAAAACAAUUUUUUUUUGGUAGAACGACAAAACACAAUUGUGUUUAUUCACUUUUUUUAUAGACUUGUGAAAAAUGACUUGAAUCUUUAUGACGCGCGAUCUUGAAAAACGGUUUUUAAACAUUACUCUUUGAAAAUAAAAAAGAAUACAAAAAAACCAAUUGAAUUAAAACAAAAUGAAAUAAAAAACCUUAACAGGGCCUACCCUAACCUGACAAAAAAAAAACUAACAUUUAGUGGUUUACAAGAUUUGAUCACAUGACCACAACAGGGUAAAACCAUGAAACCUUGACUGAUCAAGAUUUUAAAAUACGAAAUAUAAUAAAACAUCCCACAACACAUGUAGGUAGACAUAGAAAGAGAUUAAAUAUAUGGACAACCACAUUAGUACGUUCACAAUGUGAAAUGAGCAAGUUGAGCUGCUAUUAACAAUCAACAUUUAGAACCCCAUCGAAGUGAUCGAACCCUAUUCUCCUUUUUAAUACCUUUUCUCCAUGGCUGCGGUUACCUUUUCUUCGCUGAAACUGAUGCCCUACUCCUUUUCCACUUCAUCCAAACGUUCCAAACCUUCCAUGCUCUCUUGCAUGAAGAAGAUGGAGGAACGUGCUUUCAAAUCGGUCCGAUGUUCCGGUGCAAGUGAAGCAUUCGUUCAUGGAAUGCAGAAGAUGGAGGAACGUGCAUUCUUGAUUCGUGCUGCAUCUGAAGGAAACAACCAGUCUGAACAUCCAAUGACCCUUCCAUUCAUGCACUUUGGUGAUGUAGUAAGGGCUACAUCGAACUUCACUAUGCUCAUUGGGGUUGGGGGAUUUGGCGAAGUGUUCCAUGGGACUUUAGAAGAUGGAACAGAAAUUGAAGUUAAAAGGAGUAAAGCUCGGAGGUACUCCCUUGAGAAUGAGGCUAACCUGAUGUCUCGUAUCGUAAAGCAUGAGAAUAUCGUCACGGCUCUAGGAUACUCUACUGAUGAUGAUGACCGUUACUAUAUGAUUUACGAGUAUUAUCCUAGGGGUAAUCUUCCUAAUAUCAUAUUCGGUACAUCAGAUACCAAACUUAAUUGGGAGCAAAAGCUCCAAAUUAUAAAAGGGAUUGCCUCCGGUUUGUAUUAUCUCCAUCAUGAGUUGGAGUUCGGAGUGCUCCAUAGGGAUAUUAAGGCUGCUAAUGUUUUGCUAGACGCAAAUUUUAUUCCAGAAAAUCCGACUUUGGACUUGGGCUAUCUUUUUCUCACAACAAUUCCUCUCGUAUUGUGACAAGUGAGAGUAUUAUGGGAACUGGCGCUUAUAUGGCCCCUAAAGCUUUCUUUGGGAACUUGUCAAGCAAGUCAGACGUGUAUAGUUUUGGAAAUCUCAUGUUUGAACUAAUUACUGAAAGUGUGGUUGAUAUUUCUUCUCUUGCCAACAUGCAUAAGGCUCUGUUGUUGUGUUUUCAAGGGAAAGACUUUGAAUUAGCUCUGCCUCAAUUGCCUCAUACUGAUGAUUCAACAGUGGAAGAUCAGAUAAAUAAAUGGAAGGUCUUCAAGAUGAGAGACGAUUCAUUUCCUCUCAAACACACUUUUCUCCAUCUGUUGCAAUGGCUGGAUCUUCUUUCGACCAAGAGUCUUCUAUGAAAUCCAGCUUGUCUUCCCUGUCUGCGAAACUUCAGAAAAAGGCUUCUCUCAAAUCAGGUUUCUCUGCUGCUCUCCCAGCGAAGCCUCAGGGAGAGUAUUCUAUGAAAUCCAGCUUGUCUUCCCUCUCUACGAAACUUCAGAAAGAGUCUUCUACCAACCCUCGCUUUGAUGUUGCCUCUGCCAACCCUCGCUCCGCUGCUCUCUCUGCCAACCCCGGGUCUAAUGUGAAAGCCUGCUCUCCUACAGUAUAUGUGAGGCCUCCAUUUCGGGUGUGUGGGCGGAUACCAAAGAAUGUACCGCCUCCAGAUCAUUGCUCAAAAAGGCAAGUGUAAACAGUCGUGACGUCUGGCAAAUGGUGUGCAUACCACAAAAAUCACCAAAAAAUCAAGUAUGCGAGAUUCAAAGGAAAAAGGUCUGCUGGACCACCUCCACCAUCUCCACCUCUUGGCCCCUCUCAUGCAGAUGGCCAGUGUAUCUGGCGCUGUCCGUAACCAGCUGUUGAUGGUCAUGUCUACUGCUUCUUAUGGAAGGUGGGGAGGAUGAGGAAGGCAUGUAUGAAGCUGGUAAUUUGUCGAUGAUGUCAAGGGGACUACAUUGAGGAAGUCAUUUCUGGAUGGAGCUGUUAAUUCGCUUUGGUUUUUGAUAUAAUGAGUUUAAGUGAUAUUACUUUGUUAACUAUCAUGAGUUUUGUACCGUCACCAAUUCACAUGGUAAAUCUAGUCAAUUGGAAUCACCAAGUGAACUUUUUGUAUAAAAAAAACAACAAUUUAACAAUUAUAAAACAAACUAGGAAGUGUAAAGAUAUCAUAUAGAAACAAAACAUCCCAAAUUCAAAAAUAACAAAAUUUGAAGACUAGAGCAUAUAACAUAACAAUUGUGAAAGAAAACAGUACAUGCAUUUAGAAAACACAACCUCAAGUGUAAAACCACACAUACCAGCACAUUAGCAGCAACAAAACAGGCUAGGACAAUAAGGUAUCACAAUUCAAACAUUAUACCAACUACAUAUUUUGUAACCAGAAUAUAACCCUCACGAAUGAAAGGUAGCGCGUAAAGCAAGCCAAGCACACAAUAGAGCAAUGUGAGAACUAAACCUAGAGGUUUAGCAUUCCCUAGACCUAUUACGAACAAUGGCCAAGAAAGUAGGGUUACUUGGUGGAUAAAAACCAAUUAGAAUUUAUCCAAUAGACAAUUACCCAAGAUAGAGUUGAUACAUAUAAACUGCAAUUAAAUGUAAACCAUUAUAAUUACUUACAUGAGAAACCCAAACGGUGUUAGAGACACAACAUUUCCUACACAAAAACUUAAUGCAUUAGAAACAUCAUAAUAAAAAAAUACAAGCAGAAGUAACAGAAAAUUGAUCAGAAUCAUUAUAAAGUAAAAUUUGAUAAAAAAAAACGAAAUAAGGAACAAUUAACAAAUGAAGACUGAAUGAGAAACCAAGUAAUUCGUUUGAUGUAACUCAAAAUCAUCAUUCACUUUGAGUAUUACAUUUAAUAUCUAAAUUAGCAAGAACACAAGCAGAAAAAUCACAAAUAACAUGAACAGAAGAUGAACACAAAAAUCAAUGCAAAAGAAAGAAUCAUCGUGAAAUUGAUCUUAAACACGAAAUCUUGCAAAGAUCUAUCACUUCCAAAUCAUAAUGAUAACAUAUAGAAAUUCUAGAAGAUACCUGCACCAUAUUUUUCUUCAAAAGCGUC
rnacentral:lncRNA from 1 species